UCAGCCUCGAAAUUCAGCCGUGACGAACGUUGGAGAAACCUUCGCAGAGAGCGGGGCGGAGGCGCAGGCGAUGCCUCCCUGCCUGCUGUCCCGCUUCAGGGUCUUGCCGUCAGAGGCUCAACGCCAGUUACAGCGUGGGUGUGGGAUGUGCUGGGUUUGGGUGUGCUGGUGGCUGCUCCAGAGCCAACGCACCCAGGGAAGCGGUCAGCUUUGCGUGGGCAGCGUAGCAAGGGCACCAGGUCCCAGCCUCACCCGACCUCUCCAGGAACGCAGCAGCACGACAGCUCGGUCCUCCCACCCCCAGCCAGCCCCUGUGCUCCGAGAGCAGCUGGCGACGGCUGAGCGUGGCUGCUGCAGCCUCUCAGGGUGGGAUUUUCAGCAACUACAGUGUUCAGCAGUGGGAAAAGAAAAUCUUAAAGGUGUGUGGUGAAGGAUGGUAUUUGCGUCAACAGCACUAGUCAAAAAAGAUGAAAAUAGAAAUGCUCCAUGGCUGUUACUGCUCGCUCAAAUCUGUAUUGCUUUAAACAGUACUGAGGCAGGUGGUGUGACGCUGAAAGCAAAGGGUGCUGCGGUACCCCAGGAGCACGAGGCUCUGAAAGGUGAGAGUUCAUGGCCAAAGUUCAUUCGCGCUUCUUUCCCCAUAGGGUGGGCCCUUUCCCAGGUGCAAACAGAGGGUCACAUCACCGUAAGCACCCCCAUAAACCAGACAGCAGUUUGGGGGGGAAGAAGCAGGGGCAAAGCGACCCUCCCGCAGGCGGACGGUGCCUCCUGGGAGCCCCGCUCGCAGGUCUGGGCUGAGCGAGCGCUCCUCCGCCCGUGCGAGGCUGAAGCCCGAUCUGACCGCCUCUGUUUAUCCCUUUAUUUUCCGCCUGGUGGAAAGCGGCUCCGUCAGCUCCGGCAUCAUCUCUCCAUCCUGAGCAGAGCGAGCCGUGCUCUGGCUGGGAGGGGAGGACGCAGCGGCUGCCUGGCGAGCGGCGCGGCGGCUCUCUGCCGAGCAUCCCCUUUCCACGCUGCGGGGAGCCCGGCACCCCCUGCCCCACCAGCUCCUCGCCCACCAUGCUGGAUAUUUUCAUCCUGAUGUUUUUUGCCAUCAUCGGCCUGGUGAUCCUCUCCUACAUCAUUUACAUGCUCUAGAACGAUGCUGGGGAAGAUGCGGCUCAGCAUCAGCCUUGCAAUUGAAGCGCCGUCCAGCUGCCGCCUGGUCCGUCUCCCUCGGAGCCUUCUGGAAAAGCGUUAACCCUCUGCGAACAAACGGCUGCCCGAUGCGGAGCGAGGAGCCGCGCGGGGUCGGCGCCGGCGUUGCGGAGGGGGCCGAGCGGGGCGAAGGGGGGAAAUGGGGUGGCAGGGGCGAGGGCAGCGAGGUGAGGGGAGAUGCGGGUUCUUCCCGCUGACACACGUGACAUCUCGGGAGGAUGCGACGGCUCCUGCCCCCGCCCGCAUGGCUCAGCCCCUUGGGAUGAGCGCUUCCGAGGUCGGGUGUUUGGGUUUAAUUUUAGAAAAGCGUUUAUAUUUUUAAUGAAAAAUGUUCAAGGAAAUGAAAUAAAGAGGAAUGACAGCACGAA